rnacentral:rRNA from 1 species
UACGUAGGGUGCGAGCGUUAAUCGGAAUUACUGGGCGUAAAGCGUGCGCAGGCGGUGAGUUAAGUCUGCUGUGAAAGCCCCGGGCUCAACCUGGGAAUGGCAGUGGAAACUGGCUCGCUGGAGUAUGGCAGAGGGGGGUGGAAUUCCGCGUGUAGCAGUGAAAUGCGUAGAGAUGCGGAGGAACACCGAUGGCGAAGGCAGCCCCCUGGGCCAAUACUGACGCUCAGGCACGAAAGCGUGGGGAGCAAACAGG